rfam:Halobacteriaceae archaeon SB9 contig_27, whole genome shotgun sequence.
GAGCCGAUGUCGCGUCGUGCGUUUUGAAAAACGAACCAGAGAGUGCACUUAUUCGGCGAGUCUAACCCGGUUAUCGGGGAAGGCAUAGGGAAACCGAUACGGCCGCAGCAUCUUCGGAUGUCAGGGCCACCGUCUUCAAGGGCGGGGAGCCGAGUGGGUGCGACCCGAAACCGAGUGAUCUACACGGGGGCAAGGUGAAGCGUGGCGAAAGCCACGUGGAGGCCUGUUAGAGUUGGUGUCCUACAAUACCCUCUCGUGACCCAUGUGUAGGGGUGAAAGGCCCAUCGAACUCGGCAACAGCUGGUUCCGACCGAAACAUGUCGAAGCAUGACCUCAGCAGAGAUAGUUCGUGAGGUAGAGCGACCGAUUGGGAGACCCGCCUCCGAGAGGAGUCGGCCUCCCUGUCAAACUCCGAACUUACGAACGUCGUAGAAGCUGGGAGUCCGGUUUGCGGGGUAAGCCUGUGAACCGUAAGGGAGACAACCCAGAGCUGGGUUAAGGACCCAAAAUGUGGACUAAGUGCAAUCGAAGAUAGUCUCGAGCCCUAAACAGCCGGGAGGUGAGCUUAGAAGCAGCAACCCUCUAAGAAAAGCGUAACAGCUUACCGGCCGAGGUUUGAGGCGUCGAAAAUGAUCGGGGCUCAAGUCCACUUCCGAGACCCGGCGGUACUCUUACAGAGUAAUCCAGUAGGUCGGCACUCUGAGCGGGCGGAAGCACGGGUGAGAACUCGUCGUGGACCGCUCAGUGACGAAAAUUCUGGUCACAGUAGCAGCGAGAGUCGGGUGAAAACCCCGACGGCCUAAUGAGCAAGGGUUCCUCGGCACUGCCAAUCAGCCGAGGGUUAGCCGAUCCUAAGUCUCACCGUAACUCGAAUGAGACAAAAGGGUAACUGGUUAAUAUUCCAGUGCUAUCACCACUCAAAGUCGACGCCUGGGGGUAGAUCGAGCCGGACAGUCGUCCGGUCGAAUCACCAAAAUCCGUGGAAGCCGUCAUGGCACGAAGCGGACGAACGGUGAAACAGCGAAAGUCGAUCCAACCUCGGGCCCGUGAAAAGACGAGCGUGAUAUUCGUACCGAGAUCCGACACAGGUGCUCAGGCGGAGAAAGCCAAGGCCUGUCGGGAUAACCGACGUUAGGGAAUUCGGCAAGUUAGUCCCGUACCUUCGGAAGAAGGGAUGCCUGCCCCUCACAGGGCAGGUCGCAGUGACUCGGACGCUCCAACUGUCUAGUAACAACACAGGUGACCGCAAAUCCGCAAGGACUCGUACGGUCACUGAAUCCUGCCCAGUGCAGGUAUCUGAACACCUCGUACAAGAGGACGAAGGACCUGUCAACGGCGGGGGUAACUAUGACCCUCUUAAGGUAGCGUAGUACCUUGCCGCUUCAGUAGCGGCUUGCAUGAAUGGAUCAAUGAGAGCGUCACUGUCCCAACGUUGGACCCGGUGAACUGUACAUUCCAGUGCGGAGUCUGGAGACCCCCAAGGGGAAGCGAAGACCCUAUAGAGCUUUACUGCAGGCUGUCGCUGGGACGUGGUCGCUGAUGUGCAGCAUAGAUAGGAGCCGUUACACAGGUACCCGCGCUAGCGGGCCACCGAGGCGCCAUUGAAAUACUAUCCGUCAGUGACUGCGACCCUCACUCCGGGAGGAGAACACCGGUAGCCGGGCAGUUUGACUGGGGCGGUACGCGCUCGAAAAGAUAUCGAGCGCGCCCGAAGGUUCUCUCAUUCGGGUCGGAAACCCGAAGAAGAGCGCAAGAGCAAACGAGAGCCUGACAGUGACAUUCCCAACGAGUGUCGCUGACACGAAAGUGUGGUCUAGCGAACCUACGAGGCCCAUAGAUGGGGCCCGUAGAUGACAGAAAAGCUACCUUAGGGAUAACAGAGUCGUCACCGGCAAGAGCACAUAUCGACCCGGUGGCUUGCUACCUCGAUGUCGGUUCCCUCCAUCCUGCCUGUGCAGAAGCAGGCAAGGGUGAGGUUGUUCGCCUAUUAAAGGAGGUCGUGAGCUGGGUUUAGACCGUCGUGAGACAGGUCGGCUGCUAUCUAUUGGGGGUGCGAGGUAUCUGACGUGAACGAUCGUAUAGUACGAGAGGAACUACGAUUGGUUGCCACUGGUGUACCGGUUGUCCGACAGGGCAGUUGCCGGGCAGCCACGCAACACGGGGUAAGAGCUGAACGCAUCUAAGCUCGAAACCCACAUGGAAAAGAGAUACCAUCAAGGUCACUCAUAGAAGAUGAGUUCGAUAGACUCGGGGUGUACGCAACGAGGCAACGAGUUGUUCAGCCCGCGAGCACUAACAGACCAGCCAUCACUCAUA